UACGUAGGGGGCAAGCGUUGUCCGGAAUCAUUGGGCGUAAAGCGCACGUAGGCGGCCCUGUAAGUCCGUUGUGAAAGUCAAAGGCUCAACCUUUGAAUGCCGAUGGAUACUGCAGGGCUAGAGUCCGGAAGAGGCGAGUGGAAUUCCUGGUGUAGCGGUGGAAUGCGCAGAUAUCAGGAGGAACACCAAUGGCGAAGGCAGCUCGCUGGGACGGUACUGACGCUGAGACGCGAAAGCGUGGGGAGCAAACAGG
rnacentral:rRNA from 1 species